rnacentral:rRNA from 1 species
AUUGAACGCUAGCGGCAUGCCUUACACAUGCAAGUCGAACGGAGUGGCGGACGGGUGUGUAAUAUAUCGGAAUGUGCCCAGUAGGGGGGGAUAACCACUCGAAAGAGUGGCUAAUACCGUAAACUCUGAGAGCCGCCGAUAUCGGAUUAGAGAGUUGGUGGGGUAAAGGCUCACCAAGGCCACGAUCCGUAGCUGGUUUGAGAGGACGACCAGCCACACUGGGACUGAGACACGGCCCAGACUCCUACGGGAGGCAGCAGUGGGGAAUUUUGGACAAUGGGGGAAACCCUGAUCCAGCCAUCCCGCGUGUAUGAUGAAGGCCUUCGGGUUGUAAAGUACUUUUAGCAGAGAAGCGUUAUCUGCAGAAUAAGCACCGGCUAACUACGUGCCAGCAGCCGCGGUAAUAC